CACGUAGGGCGCAAGCGUUGUCCGGAAUCAUUGGGCGUAAAGCGCACGUAGGCGGCCUCAUAAGUCGGAUGUGAAAUCCCUCGGCUCAACCGAGGACGUGCAUCCGAAACUGUGAAGCUCGAGUAUGGAAGAGGGUCGCGGAAUUCCCGGUGUAGAGGUGAAAUUCGUAGAUAUCGGGAGGAACACCAGUGGCGAAGGCGGCGACCUGGGCCAAUACUGACGCUGAGGUGCGAAAGCGUGGGGAGCAAACAGG
rnacentral:rRNA from 1 species